AUACAGAGGGUGCAAGCGUUAUUCGGAAUUACUGGGCGUAAAGCGCGCGUAGGCGGAUGAUUAAGUCAGUUGUGAAAGCCCUGGGCUCAACCUAGGAACUGCAUCUGAUACUGGUCGUCUAGAGUUUAAGAGAGGGAAGUGGAAUUCCAGGUGUAGCAGUGAAAUGCGUAGAUAUCUGGAGGAACAUCAGUGGCGAAGGCGACUUCCUGGCUUAAAACUGACGCUGAGGUGCGAAAGCGUGGGUAGCGUACGGGAUUAGAAACCCUAGUAGUCC
rnacentral:rRNA from 1 species